rnacentral:misc_RNA from 1 species
GUCCCAAACAUCCUACUCUUGACCUUCUUGGAUUGGGAAUGGCAGCUGGUGGAGGCUCAACACCUGGAUUAUCCGCUCUAAUAACAUCAAUGGGCGGUAAUCUAGAUGUGGCUGCGGCAGCAAGACCGUUUGACAGUGGAGAAUUUUGUGGGAAGGAGUUUGGAAGAAGUUCAUGAUACCAAAUGUGAAUGACCAUGAAGCUUUAGUUGACAAUUUGGCAAAGCCCAUUAGGUA